UACGGAGGGUGCAAGCGUUAUCCGGAUUCACUGGGUUUAAAGGGUGCGUAGGCGGGCAGGUAAGUCCGUGGUGAAAUCUCUGAGCUUAACUCAGAAACUGCCAUGGAUACUAUUUGUCUUGAAUAUUGUGGAGGUAAGCGGAAUAUGUCAUCUAGCGGUGAAAUGCUUAGAUAUGACAUAGAACACCAAUUGCGAAGGCAGCUUACUACACAGUUAUUGACGCUGAGGCACGAAAGCGUGGGGAUCAAACAGG
rnacentral:rRNA from 1 species